GACAGGAGGGGGGAGUUGAAUAACAAAAGUGUUGCCAUAGCGGAUGCCUUCUCCAGCGCUUUGUACGUGUUUUGUCCGUGAGGCGAUUGCCAAAAAAGCUCUUUUGUGUUGGGUUAUUCGGAGGUUAUGAGGCCUGUAUGAGUGCAAAAAUUCCACUACAAGAGUGUCAACAUGCUAUCACAGAUUCAAAUCAGCUAGUCAAGAUGAUGAAGGGGUGUUGUUGAUUGCGGCAGCCACUCCACCGCUGGCGAUGAACCCUAUAUAGCUAACUUGCUCUGAUCGCAACAAUAACAAGAUUAACCGUCCCAC
rnacentral:sRNA from 2 species